UACGGAGGGUGCAAGCGUUAAUCGGAAUUACUGGGCGUAAAGCGCACGCAGGCGGUUGGAUAAGUUAGAUGUGAAAGCCCCGGGCUCAACCUGGGAAUUGCAUUUAAAACUGUUCGGCUAGAGGCUUGUAGAGGGGGGUAGAAUUCCAGGUGUAGCGGUGAAAUGCGUAGAGAUCUGGAGGAAUACCGGUGGCGAAGGCGGCCCCCUGGACAAAGACUGACGCUCAGGUGCGAAAGCGUGGGGAGCAAACAGG
rnacentral:rRNA from 1 species